GAUUAGCUCAGCGGUAGAGUAGUCGGCUGUUAACCGAUUGGUCGCUGGUUCGAAUCCAGCAU
rnacentral:tRNA from 3 species